CCUACGGGUGGCAGCAGUGGGGAAUAUUGCACAAUGGGCGCAAGCCUGAUGCAGCGACGCCGCGUGAGCGAUGAAGGCCUUCGGGUCGUAAAGCUCUUUCCUAAGGGAAGAAUAAUGACGGUACCUUAGGAGGAAGCCCCGGCUAACUACGUGCCAGCAGCCGCGGUAAUACGUAGGGGGCGAGCGUUAUCCGGAAUCACUGGGCGUAAAGGGUGCGUAGGCGGCCCUGCAAGUCAGGAGUUAAAUCCCUCGGCUCAACCGAGGUCAGCUCUUGAAACUGUAGGGCUUGAGUGCAGGAGAGGAGAGGCGAAUUACAAGCUUAGCGGUGGAAUGCGUAGAUAUUAGGAGGCACACCAGUGGCGAAGGCGGCUCUCUGGACUGCAACUGACGCUGCCGCACGAAAGCGUUGGGAGCGAACCUGAUUAGAUACCCUAGUCGUC
rnacentral:rRNA from 1 species